CAAAUUCUCUUCUCCAAGCCCAGUCGAAGCUUAAAGGGACAACAACACCCUCCUCCCAGCCCCAGCGAAGCCUCCGGAAGGGUUGGGAACAGACCUCCAGGGCCAGCGGGAGCUCCCAUUCCCUCUGCCUUGCGGGGGCCCCACAAGCAUUUCUGCCACAGGCCCAGACGCCAGCCUGUGAUCUCCGGGAAGGGCACCCCCAAAUGAGGCCUGCGCCCCCACAGAGAGGAGCUGAUGGCUGGGGCUCCCUCCUCAUGCUCUGUAGAUGAUGACAAGACCCCCGACUUGGCUCAUCGUAGUAAUCAAAUCUUCAAGGGUCGAACUCAGAGUUAUUUCAAACCUAAGGUGGAAGGGAAAAGGAAGAGUGUCCAGUUGGACCAGUCUGGUAGCCAGUGACUGAAGACAGGCUGGUGCCCUGCCUGGAAGGUCGGAGCGAGGCACAGGCACGAGGCAGGCCACGUCUCAGCCACAUGCGGACCCCAUCACCUGAUCCCAUCAUCGAUUGUCUGCUUUCUGGGCUUUGUUUCCGGAGAGUUUGAUAUGGGGCAGCAGAGGUGACACAGGAUGGGAGAAGCCUGGGACUGAGUGGCGGCCGUCAGAUCCGCGCACACGGUGUCUGCAGAGCCAGGGUGCCGGAUGCCGUCUGUCAUCUGCGUCUAUUAGCGCCUCCUGUCCAUGUUCCUCUCCUUGCCACUGACGGUAUCAGCCAGGGCCCUGAGGACCAGCUUCUUGCCUGAUGACUCCACUCCUCUAAACAGCACUGUGCUGUGCUCCCUCCCCGAGUGAAAAUGCAUCUCUGUGGGGAGUGUGCUCGGCCAGUGUGGAGUGUGCUCCAAGAUCCACGGAGCGCUGGGGUGCUGCUGCUUAGGGCGGCCACAGCCUGCAUCAGCCUCCUGUGUGCACUCGACACCGUGGGACUGGAGCCUGGGAGUGUCCGGGGUUCCCAUCAGGAGGAAGGAAAGCAGCACACUGACCCCCCCAGGCAGUGCCAGUAGGGGCUGCUACCGAC
rnacentral:lncRNA from 1 species